UACGGGGGGGGCAAGCGUUGUUCGGAAUUACUGGGCGUAAAGGGCUCGUAGGUGGCCAACUAAGUCAGACGUGAAAUCCCUCGGCUUAACCGGGGAACUGCGUCUGAUACUGGAUGGCUCGAAUCCGGGAGAGGGAUGCGGAAUUCCAGGUGUAGCGGUGAAAUGCGUAGAUAUCUGGAGGAACACCGGUGGCGAAGGCGGCAUCCUGGACCGGCAUUGACGCUGAGGAGCGAAAGCCAGGGGAGCAAACAGG
rnacentral:rRNA from 1 species